CAGCAGCAGCCGCGGGAAUACGUAGGCAGCGAGCGUUGUUCGGAAUUACUGGGCGUAAAGAGUGCGUAGGCGGUGCUCUAAGUCUGUCGUGAAAUCUCCCGGCUUAACUGGGAGGGUGCGGCGGAAACUGGAAUGCUCGAGUAUGGGAGAGGUAAGCGGAAUUCCUGGUGUAGCGGUGAAAUGCGUAGAUAUCAGGAGGGACACCUGUGGUGUAGACAGCUUACUGGACCAUGACUGACGCUGAGGCACGAAAGCGUGGGUAGCAAACAGGAUUAGAUACCCCCGUAGUCCCUGUCUCUUAUAC
rnacentral:rRNA from 1 species